AUUCAGCUGAAGUGUCCUAAAUAGGACGAAUUGCGCGUCCUAGAU
rnacentral:hammerhead_ribozyme from 1 species